rnacentral:lncRNA from 1 species
UAAACUCUAAACCCUUGCUGUCGGAAAAAUGUACUAAACCUUAACCAGGCAAAUCCUCAUCGGCGUAUUCAUUCACCGACAAGGCGAAGGCAACCACCGAAUCGGAAAUUCCUCAUUAGUUCCUUGUCUUACAUUCACUGCGCACAUCCGAUCGACCGCUCCAAUUGGCGUUCAUCCACUCCGACCUUGGGUCUCUAGCUCCAGCCGAUAGAACCAGAGCCAAGCAGCCUUCAUAGCUACUACGAGUCUACGACCCUUGUAAGAUCGCACCCUGAUUCCUUUUAUUCUGUAGUUCUCCAUGGAAACCACCGGAAGUUUAGAUUCCUAGUUUCAGGAGAAGUCAAGUUCAGGGUCAACGGAAUCCCCUGGCUUUUACAAAAAGAAUGGCGGCAUUAGUGAAUUGCAGACAGUGCAUAUGUUCUUCAUUCUUGACUUAAUAAACAGAUACAAUUCCACUCUUAUAAAUUUGCUUAAGCCGUCUGUGUUUCCCGUUCACUAAUUCUUUCC